rnacentral:rRNA from 1 species
CAAGUCGAGCGAGAGGAAGUAGCAAUACUUUAGUAAAGCGGCGCACGGGUGAGUAACACGUGGAUAACCUGCCUCGAAGUGGGGAAUAACCCCGGGAAACCGGAGCUAAUACCGCAUAAUCUGACGAGAUCUGUGGAUUUUGUCAGCAAAGGAGCAAUUCGCUUUGAGAGGGGUCCGCGGCUGAUUAGCUAGUUGGUGAGGUAAUGGCUCACCAAGGCCACGAUCAGUAGCCGGUCUGAGAGGACGGUCGGCCACACUGGAACUGAGACACGGUCCAGACUCCUACGGGAGGCAGCAGUGGGGAAUUUUUCGCAAUGGGGGCAACCCUGACGAAGCAACGCCGCGUGGGUGAUGAAGUAUUUCGGUACGUAAAACCCUUUCGACGGGGACGAAACCGCAAGGUUGACGGUACCCGUAGAAGAAGCCCCGGCUAACUCCGUGCCAGCAGCCGCGGUAAUACGGGGGGGGCAAGCGUUGUUCGGAAUUACUGGGCGUAAAGGGCGCGUAGGCGGUUUGCUAAGUUGGAUGUGAAAACUCUGGGCUUAACCCAGAGCCUGCAUCCAAAACUGGCAAACUUGAGUACUGGAGGGGAAAGCGGAAUUCCUGGUGUAGCGGUGAAAUGCGUAGAUAUCAGGAGGAACACCGGUGGCGAAGGCGGCUUUCUGGACAGUAACUGACGCUGAGGCGCGAAAGCUAGGGGAGCAAACAGGAUUAGAUACCCUGGUAGUCCUAGCCCUAAACGAUGGAUACUUGGUGUGAGGGGGAUUGAAUCCCUUCGUGCCGUAGCUAACGCAAUAAGUAU